CCCAUUUCUACUACUUCUUCUUCUUCUUCACAUUAUGCGCUGCCAGUGCUAGCCAUGGAGUUAAAUCUGCAUUCCCAUGCAGUCAUGGAUGGCGAUUCAAAAUACACCUUAAUUUUCUCUUGUACCUACGUGGUUUCAUAUAUAUAACAUUCAAUAUAUACGCGUGUGUAUAUAUAUCGUGGGAGAUUUAUAUUCAUUUCAAAUGAAAAAGAGGAAGUAAGUUAAGCUCAAGAAGAGGGGUAACGUAUAGUGUCCGACCGCCGGUCCGAAUGCAUAAUUAAAAUGUCUCCUCAUCGUCGUCCCUGACUGCAUGCAUCUUCUAUCACUUUUCACCUUCUUCUGUCUUUCUUCUUUUUCAACCUUUUAUGAUUCUUCUUCCUUUUCGUAGCAGUUCAAAACCAAAGAUGGAUUAUUGAUGUGGCAGAUCAGUUAAACUUGUAAAUGAAAUUGUGAAACAAAAAUAAAAAUAACAAUAACGCGAUUGAUUGGAUAAUGGAUAUAGGAAUGCAAUAGACUGAUUAUUUGUUCACAAUCAUUUCCUAGUGCUUCAAUCCUUCAUGAUCUUCUGGUUUUUGCCCAAAAUAACAGAAAAAUUCAAUGCCCUUUUUGCACUCUAAGCAUAUACAAAUGCGUAGGAGAGACCGUUAAUGGGAAAACCGACCUCUCUUCCUCUCCCAACUUGUUUCUCUAAUAUUUAUCUAAUUUCUGCAACACCAUCUCUUUCAUCCAUCCUAGCUUCAAUGCUGCCCCUCCUUACUUUGCCCCUUGUUCUUCUUCGCCUUCUCCAUUCUUACUCUGUCCAAACCCAGAAGGGCCUUCCUCCGCUUGUUGUAAAGACUGACAAGAGACCACCCACUGCAACCAAAUCAGAACCGCAAAAACCCCAAACCGAAAGCCGACGGGCCAACUUUCCAGACAGGCAUUAUCGUCGUGUGACAAUCGCUACAGAUUUUUCCAUUCGAGUGAUUGAACUUGAUCAACUGCGUUUGAUCUGCGCCAUAAAAUUCCAAUCGCCUUGUUCAGCGCUUGGCAUCAGAGCCAGAUCUUCGAUUGCUUCUUCUUUGGAGGGGAACGAUCUUGACCUUAAUUGGGUGUGAUUAUCGUAGCUGCGAGAGGGUGACGAAGGAAGAACCAGGUUGAAAAGGACGAAGGGAAGAAGUCAAGGAAAGGAAGAAGAAGAAGAAGAAGAAGAAGAAGAACAAGAAAGUGAGAACUGAGAAGUGCCAAAGAUGAAGUCAGUCAGAGUGGUAGGGGCAAAAAUGUCAUUUUAAUCUUCCGGAAGCUCAAUCGGUCUAGCUUCUUCGGACCAGUAGUAUUAUCCAAAGAAGAGGAGCGAGAGAGAAUGAACAAACGCAGCGUAAAUGGAAUACAGUUAUCGACAGAUCCUCUGUGUCUCCUUAUUCGAUUCAAGUCAUUGAUAUUGGAGAGGAACUGAUUCAUUUUCAGCUGGUCUAGGAUAAACGUCUAGCCAGGUGCUCCAAUUCUCGAGUCUUCCCCAGUGUGAUCCCAUGACGCUCCAGUUGCUGCAGUGGUGCAAUCUUAACCUGCUCCAAUAUGCCCAUCUUCCGGGUUUAAUCUACUGUAGAAUGUUUUAUGAUGAUUGUAUUGAUAUUAUUCUUGGCACACUUUCUGAUAAAAUGACCUUUCUGAGCCAUUGAUCAGCCUUUUUGUGAACACAGUUCAGAAAGUUAAUCAAUAAAGCUUAAGCUCAUUUUGACAGUCUUCUAGAGCCUUAUGGCCAAUUGAGGUCUAUCAGAAAUGUGUGAUUUUGGUAGAUGAACCUCAUUAAACUAAUUAUUACAAUCAUACUACUUUUAAAGGCUCUUUACAUGACAAUAUUCCACAUAUAUAUUCUUCUGAAAAGAACCAUGCUAAAGUGUAUCCUGUGUCAGCAAGCUUGUAGAUGAAAUUUUUGGUUUGUUUUAACUUUUUAUGCUAAUGAUACAAUAAUUUUUCAGGGGUUGAUGCUGAGUAAUUAGAAUGCUAAGAUGUAUGUUCCCUUGUUUUUGAGGCACUGCCAAGCCUAAUGGUGAAUCCUGGCAAGCUAGAGCUUAUAUUGUGACUGAGGUGGCAAAUAUUGAGACCUGAUUCUUAUUAAAAAGUAUAAUAGAAACCUUAUUCUCAAUUUGAGGUGUAAGCUGGAAUUUUUACCUUCUUUUCACAUUUGGGUUUAACACUUUGUUCCUCCUCCAAAAUCUACUUUAAUAUUGAGCCCUUUUUUUUGGAGGUUUAAAUAAGGCAAUUGGUUGGAAUUGACUAUAGUUUUUGAAGGGGUCUAUCUUUAACUAACAGUAAGUUGUCUAGUCUCCCCACCUAGCUUUUAUCCAUGUUCGCUUUCCAUUCUCAUUUGAAAGAGAUUCGAGAAACUUCAAAGGAAUUAUCACAGGAGAUAUAAGAGAAGCCUUGUCUUGCCAUUUGAUAGAGUGGGCGAUGUAUAUUAUGAAAAAAGAAGAGAAAACAAUAAUAGUUGGAUCUAGUACACUCACCCCAUUAAAAAAAAAAAAAAGAUGCUUAGGCUUUAGAAAGUGGUAUUUCUCAAUCAUUCUCUAAUAGUGAAGUGCUUUGGACAUAUUCACAUGAAAAGGAUGUACCUGAUAAAGGUAGUUGAGUCUGAGUAUGCAUUGAUUUGGUGUCUACUUACUACCAAGAUAAUCUUUAUGGCCUGUGGUAAGAGUCUUUUUGAAAGAUUGUUUUAGGAAUGAUGGGAGGCUUUCUAUUAAUGUACCCAUUCAAUUAAUGGGGAUUGGGAGGGAGGCACUGAAAUUGGACUGACAUAAGAUCUCACUACAAGAAUUGAGGGGCAAAAGCCUAAAAAAGAAUAACGUCUUACUUUAGACCAAGUCCUUUAAUCUUGACUAAAUCACUUACUUAAGACCCUGUUUGGAAUCAUAAUAGCUUUCUUCCCAUGUGUUUUGAUAAUUGAUAUCUUCUGCUGAUGUUUGAUUAUAUCCAGGUACUAAAUGUGCUAGAUUCUUCUGCACAUGUACUAUGUUGGAUGGAUGCCCAUGAGGAAAAAUGAACUCUGAAGCAGCAGCAGCUUUUAUUGCUGCUGUUGUUAAGCAUGAGGUAGGCAAGCAGCAUAUAAUACUCCAAGAUCCAGCAUUUGGUGGUAUCUGGUACCACUGUUCAAAUUUGGAUACUAAGGAAUAUCUUAAACCAUUAAUUGUUUGUUUAAUAUGGUCUAUUUUCACGUGGAGGGGAAUGAACCGUAUGAUUAUCAGGGUACUGGCCAUUUAGAUAAUUCUUUUGCAACGUAUUAGCUAUCCACACAAUUUGUAUGCUGUAUCAAGUUGGUGUUGCAUGGCUUAGGACACAAGUGGAGACAGGAGCAUGAUGGCCAAAAGUUGGGCUGAAAAGAGAAGGCUAGGUUAGCCCUUAAAAGAUUCAACUGUCCCUAAACAGGACGAGAACCUGUGGCUCUUAGUACUUCAAAGUGAUGGAGAAAUUGUUGAUGCUAAGCCUCCUGCAAUUUCUAAUGUUUCCCCAUAUAUUGGAGUUCUAGAAAGAUCAGUUGUAAGGUUAUACAUUAUUUGUAUCACAUGAGCAUGUUGACUUGGAUUAUUUCUUUGUCUAUCUUCCAUAUAGUUCUGAAGCAACCUGUGGGCUGAAACAAGGUGAAAAUAAGGGAAGGGAGAUUUCUAUAGUUGCAAUUUUGGGCCUUGUGUUUCCAUCUUGUACAGAUUCCUGCCUUGUUUAGUAGCCCCUAUGUUUGUGCAUUUAUAAGGAACCUAUCUAUUUUGGUGGGUGCUAUCAAACUUCUCUCAGAGAGAGAGAGAGAGAGUUCUGGAAGGCAACCACAGAAGACAAAAGAUGAAGCGAAAAUCCAGGGCACUAAAAUCACAGGCAUCAAAAUCACCAGUAUCAUAUGGAAGAAGGCAAUCAUCGAUGUCACUCCUGGAGGGAAGACCGAAAGCAUCUCCAACAGGUGAUAAGUAUCUUAUUGAGAUGGCAAUUAAAGCUGAGAUUGAUUUAGAGGUAGAUAAGAUAAGAAGGAUGCCUGCAGAAGAGGCUGCUGCAGCUGUUGCCCAAGCUGUUGUGGAGGCUGGAAUUGCUAUAGCAAUAGCUGAAAGGGCAGAAAGAGAGGCAGCAGAAGCAGAAGCUGCCGCUGCUGCAGAAGCUGCCGCUGCUGCUGCACAAGCUUUUGCUGAAGAAGUAAUGAAGGAAUUAAUGAAAUUUCGAAACAAAUGCACCAAGGAUGGUGGUUCAAGCUCUGGAAUUUGCAAGAAGAACCGUUCAGCGAAGAUGGGCUAGUGCUUUGCCUUUUCUGUUCAGUUGCCGACUUUAUCUGAUGCUUUAGAUAUGGUUAUGCUUCUUGGGUGUGCUUUUACCUUUUGAGUUUUAGUGGAUUAUCAAAGAACCCCUUUAUUUGCAGUUCAUCAAUUUGCAGAACUUUUCUUUAUUCUCUUGCCUGUUGCUUCAUGUCUGUGAACUUCUUGUUUUAGGAUCAGAAACCAGUCUGAUAUUUGUUUGAUCUCUAGUCUAAUUCUUUCUUUCAUCCCAUUGAUAAUUAUGCCGUGUUAACUUGGUUUAUAGAGGAA